UACGAAGGGGGCAAGCGUUGUUCGGAAUGACUGGGCGUAAAGGGCGCGUAGGCGGUCGGCCGCGUCAGAUGUGAAAGCCCCGGGCUCAACCUGGGAACCGCAUUUGAAACGGGCCGACUCGAGUUCGGGAGAGGAUGGUGGAAUUCCCAGUGUAGAGGUGAAAUUCGUAGAGAUUGGGAAGAACACCGACGGCGAAGGCAGCCAUCUGGACCGACACUGACGCUGAGGCGCGACAGCGUGGGGAGCAAACAGGAUUAGAAACCCCCGUAGUCC
rnacentral:rRNA from 1 species